UGGGGAAUAUUGCACAAUGGGCGAAAGCCUGAUGCAGCAACGCCGCGUGAGUGAUGAAGGUCUUCGGAUUGUAAAGCUCUGUCUUUUGGGACGAUAAUGACGGUACCAAAGGAGGAAGCCACGGCUAACUACGUGCCAGCAGCCGCGGUAAUACGUAGGUGGCGAGCGUUGUCCGGAUUUACUGGGCGUAAAGGGUGCGUAGGCGGAUGUUUAAGUGAGAUGUGAAAUACCCGGGCUUAACUUGGGUGCUGCAUUUCAAACUGGAUAUCUAGAGUGCAGGAGAGGAGAAUGGAAUUCCUAGUGUAGCGGUGAAAUGCGUAGAGAUUAGGAAGAACACCAGUGGCGAAGGCGAUUCUCUGGACUGUAACUGACGCUGAGGCACGAAAGCGUGGGUAGCAAACAGGAUUAGAUACCCUGGUAGUCCACGCCGUAAACGAUGAGUACUAGGUGUAGGAGGUAUCGACCCCUUCUGUGCCGCAGUAAACACAUUAAGUACCCCGCCUGGGAAGUACGAUCGCAAGAUUAAA
rnacentral:rRNA from 1 species